CGCGCAGGCGGCCUAUCAAGUCAGGCGUGAAAGCCCCGGGCUUAACCUGGGAAUUGCGCUUGGGACUGAUGGGCUUGAGUACGGGAGAGGAGAGUGGAAUUCCCAGUGUAGAGGUGAAAUUCGUAGAUAUUGGGAAGAACACCGGUGGCGAAGGCGGCUCUCUGGACCGUAACUGACGCUGAGGCGCGAAAGCGUGGGGAGCAAACAGGAUUAGAUACCCUGGUAGUCCACGCUGUAAACGAUGUGCGCUAGACGUUGGAAGGCCUAGCCUUCCGGUGUCGCAGCUAACGCUUUAAGCGCACCGCCUGGGGAGUACGGCCGCAAGGUUAAA
rnacentral:rRNA from 1 species